GGAUUUAGGAAAUCCGUCUCAAAGCUUAGAGACGGAUUUUCGAAAUCCGUCUCUAAACUUAGAGACGGAUUUUUAAAAUCCGUCUCUAAGUUUAGAGACGGAUUUUCAAAAUCCGUCUCUAAGUUUAGAGACGGAUUUCGAAAAUCCGUCUCUAAGCUUUGAGACGGAUUUCCUAAAUCC
rnacentral:pre_miRNA from 1 species